rnacentral:lncRNA from 1 species
GGCCUAAAGUUACCCCAUUAAGGCUUCGUUUGGGAUUGCGGGGAAAUUGCGUUACGUGCAGUGAGAAAGUACGUUGGAAAGAUACAUGUUUGUUUCCGUACCUAAUAUUGCGUUCCGCAUAUCGCGAUGAGUCGGUUAUAAUAUAUUUUGGAGAACGCAGAAGUAUAUCUCUAUAUGCUUUUUCCUCAACUCCAUUCUAUCUAAUAGCGUUCAUAGGCCUCAAUGCCAAAUUAAGCCUAAAUGAUAUUAGACUGUGUGUGUGUAUAGAGUUAGGGUGGUAUACUAUCGGCAACACGGAGGAUUCCGUGCGACCAAGUUGUUUUUCAAUGACGUGGCUUCCAAAUCGACGAAGCGGAGCGGGUCUUGUCGAGGUAGAGCAGCGUGGCGAUGUUGCCGGCGCUGCGGAGGAAGAAGAGGGCGGCAACAGUAGCUACGGAGGAAGAAGAGGGAGAAAGAAAAAGGGUAAAAUUAUCAAUUCACAUUAUUAAUUAAUCAUAGUUAAGUAUUUUAACUGUGAUUAACUAGAUUUCUCUAACGGAUCCUAAUGAUAGGGACAUAUUUGAAUACAUUAGAACUUUUGUAGGAAUAACUUAUAAAAAUUAAACUUUAUAGGAAUAUAUCUGAAAUUCAUCAUAUUUGCGGGGACCUAUACACAAUUAACCCAAAUUUUUAAUUGUAUAUUUUUUAAGACUCUUUCUUUU